AGAUUGAACGCUAGCGGGAUGCUUUACACAUGCAAGUCGAACGGUAACAGGCCGCAAGGUGCUGACGAGUGGCGAACGGGUGAGUAAUGCAUCGGAACGUGCCCAGUCGUGGGGGAUAACGCAGCGAAAGCUGUGCUAAUACCGCAUACGAUCUAUGGAUGAAAGCGGGGGACCAAAGGCCUCGCGCGAUUGGAGCGGCCGAUGUCAGAUUAGCUAGUUGGUGGGGUAAAGGCCCACCAAGGCGAGAUCUGUAGCUGGUCUGAGAGGACGACCAGCCACACUGGAACUGAGACACGGUCCAGACUCCGUACGGGAGCAGCAGUGGGGAAUUUUGGACAAUGGGCGCAAGCCUGAUCAGCAAUGCGCGUGCAGGAGAAGGCCUCGGGUUGUAAACUGUCUUUGUACGGAACGAAGCGGUACGUGGUUAAUACCGUCGGGCUAAGUGAACGGUUACCGUAAGGAAUAAGCACCGGCUAACUACGUGCCAGCAGCCGUA
rnacentral:rRNA from 1 species